AGAGUUUGAUCCUGGCUCAGGACGAACGCUGGCGGCAUGCCUAACACAUGCAAGUCGAACGAGAAAGUUCCUUCGGGAGCAAUUAAAGUGGCGCACGGGUGAGUAACGCGUAGACAAUCUGCCCUUCAGUCUGGGACAACUUUUCGAAAGGAGAGCUAAUACCGGAUAACAAUGCAUGACACAAGUUGUAUAUUUGAAAGCUUUAUGUGCUGAAGGAGGGGUCUGCGUCCCAUUAGCUAGUUGGUAAGGUAAAGGCUUACCAAGGCAACGAUGGGUAGCGGGUUUGAGAGGACGAUCCGCCACACUGGAACUGAGACACGGUCCAGACUCCUACGGGAGGCAGCAGUGGGGAAUAUUGCACAAUGGAGGAAACUCUGAUGCAGCAAUGUCGCGUGAGUGAAGAAGGCCCUUGGGUCGUAAAGCUCUUUUAUGGGGGAAGAUGAUGACGGUACCCCAAGAAUAAGCACCGGCUAACUAUGUGCCAGCAGCCGCGGUAAUACAUAGGGUGCGAGCGUUGUUCGGAAUUACUGGGCGUAAAGGGCGCGCAGGCGGAAUAGUAAGUCGGAGGUGAAAGCCCGGGGCUCAACCCCGGAGGGUCUUUCGAAACUACUAAUCUAGAGAGGGUCAGGGGCCGGUGGAAUUUCUAGUGUAGCGGUGAAAUGCGUAGAUAUUAGAAAGAACACCAGUGGCGAAGGCGGCUUCCUGGACUGAUACUGACACUGAGGCGCGAAAGCGUGGGGAGCAAACAGGAUUAGAUACCCUGGUAGUCCACGCCGUAAACGAUGAGAACUAGCUGUUGGGUGGUUUACCACUUAGUAGCGAAGCUAACGCGAUAAGUUCUCCGCCUGGGGAGUACGGCCGCAAGGUUAAAACUCAAAGGAAUUGACGGGGGCCCGCACAAGCGGUGGAGCAUGUGGUUUAAUUCGAUGCAACGCGAAGAACCUUACCUACUCUUGACAUCCUGAGAAUCUACUAGAGAUAGUGGAGUGCCUUCGGGAAUUCAGUGACAGGUGCUGCAUGGCUGUCGUCAGCUCGUGUCGUGAGAUGUUGGGUUAAGUCCCGUAACGAGCGCAACCCUUAUCCUUAUUUGCCAGCACGUAAUGGUGGGAACUCUAAGGAGACUGCCGGUGAUAAACCGGAGGAAGGUGAGGACGACGUCAAGUCAUCAUGGCCCUUAUGAGUAGGGCUACACACGUGAUACAAUGGGCAGUACAAAGGGUCGCAAUACCGCAAGGUGGAGCUAAUCCCAGAAAAUUUCUCUCAGUCCGGAUUGGAGUCUGCAACUCGACUCCAUGAAGUUGGAAUCGCUAGUAAUCGUGAAUCAGCAUGUCACGGUGAAUACGUUCUCGGGCCUUGUACACACCGCCCGUCACAUCAUGGGAGUGGGCUGCAAAAGAAGUGGCUAGUCUAACCUUCGGGAGGACGGUCACCACUUUGUGGUUCAUGACUGGGAUGAAGUCGUAACAAGGUAACC
rnacentral:rRNA from 1 species